rnacentral:lncRNA from 1 species
GAAAUCUGGAAACUAUGUCAUUUUUCCUCACCACUCCAGAUGUUAAUUUCCCAAAUUCUCAGAACCCCACACUGCCAUAAAAUAUCCUAAAGCCACAAAACAAUCCGGAUCCUCACCACCACUGCAACACUUGCCAUACUUUAAACAAUACACUAUUACUCAUUCUUGAGCCCCUAAACUCCACAAAUGACCACUGCCA